rnacentral:misc_RNA from 1 species
AGGGAAAGAAGCAAUAUCAAUUUGGUAUCAGAACACAAACUCAUAUUGUGACAUUAACCACGUCAAAUAUUUUUCUGUACAAUAGCACUUAUUUUAUUACAAUAUAUGAUACAAUGGCUGAGACCAAAUCACUAAGGUAUAAAGUAAAAAUCUAACAUUACAAGCAUAACAAACUGGUAAAGAGUUGGGGGGGAAAAAAAAGGGCUCAGGACCCAAAGGUCCAUACCAAGGCAUCCCUUAAAGAGCUAUACCUUAGAUUUGGAGCCUCACUUUUAGCAAAUGUCAUUCUAAAGGCAACCAUAUAACCAAACUUUAGUAAUAGAAGCCAAUAGAGGUACCUCAAGCUUGGGUGAGCCAAGAGAGUAGAAGCACUUUAGGUGCACCAUUGAUAACUAUGGGUUCAACAUAACUUAUAUGCACAUAAGAGUGAAAAGAAAUCACAAAUAUCCCAGAUAUUAACAACAAACUCCAAACUUGCCCACAACAUUUAUAGUACAAAAUGAAUGAAUAUGAAGAUGAGCAAAACUAAUUGCGUGCAUACAUGAUUGCAAGGGAAAUAGUAACAACUAUUAAGCAUAUUUCAAUACAAAAAGCUCACAAGUCUUUUGGCUACUCAAUUAGUUAUAUACAAAAAUAGCAGCCAUCAUCAAUUCAAAGUCUCCUAAACAAAAAGCAUCCAUGCAAACUUCACUGAAUACAAUUUUCUGCUGAAAAACAUUCCAGCAAUUAGCAAAUAUGAAUUCAAAGCCAUGUUAGCCUUUUCGAAUUCAUAUGUUUGCUUGAAAACUUGCAAGCAGUUGGAUGGGCAACAUUUGGCAUCAGAAAAAACAGGACAUGAGAAGAAGGAUUAAUAAAACUCCUCAUCUCUACUCAACAAAUAAUACAUUGAUGGACUUCCAUUUGAUACAAUUUAUAAACAGAUUUCACAGACAUAUACAACCAAAGACGCAUCAGCUCAUACUUACUUUUCUGCAAGUACUAAGAGAACAAGUAAUGAAGUAGCAACUUUUGUGUAAAAGCUAAAUACAUUUCAUUUUUGCAACUGCUAAAAUAUGAUGUAUUUUUGUCGAUAUUCGAUACCCUUUUGUAUAACCAACUGAAGAAAUAAGCAUCGCAAGUCACAAUUUUCUUUGCUAGUACAUGCAACUUAUUCAAAAGUCUUACACAAAUAUCCCCAGUAGCAUCAUUGACCUUCUGCUCGUUAUCAUGGUAUCUCCAAUCAGAUUAUUUGCAUGCUAAGAAACUCUGGAGUUAAAAUUUUAAACUCCUAUCAAUUGUUCAAAGAUUAUGCCGUGUUGAUAAAUUCUGUUAUCCUGUUUUGCUGUCAAAAUAUAAACCAGUAACAUGCAAUGUCUGCAUUACAUAUUCACCUCAGCUGGUGAAUAAUUACUCACCUCUUUGAAAAGACCAGCUUUAAGAUGUUGACAUCACAUCUUAGCAAAGGCCAGGAUAUUUGAGAAACCAUGGCAUGGAUAUGUGCCCUUAUAAAGAAAUCCUUUGAGUUCCUUGUGGUUUUUUCUUUUUACGGGUACCAUAAACUGAUAAAACAAUAAAUUCUUCACCUUUUACUGAGAAAAAAUAAAAUUCAAUAACAAGACAGAAACAUCAAACUUAAAUAACGGAACUUAAUGAAGACUUCUGGUGUAUAUAAAUUUUAGAUCAAAAAUUGAAGUCACACUUAUAAUCCAUGAGCAGGUCUGUAUAGGGACAUUCUGCACUAAUCAGUUUGCUGUUCUCUCAAGGUUUCAGUAAGAAAAGUGGGAUAAUGUGAUUCCUAUUCAAAAGAAUCUCUACUCUAAUAUUUGAAUAUACAAAUUAUAUCUUUAGUUCUAAUAACUUCUGAAGUUGUAAGAAAGUGAUUAGAAGCAGCUAUAUUGUUCCAAUCAUAAUUAAAUACAACAGAAGUAAUAUGAUAGCAAAGACUAAUUAAUAAUUACCUGCUACCUGGAUCUGUCAUAUCAUCAUCCUCCACAUCAAAUGGGCAAGGAAAGUCAGGAUCAUCAAAAUCAUCCUGAAAAGACCUGCUAGAACUUCUGGAAAAUGAAAUUUGUGGAGAGCUGUUGGAUGAUGUCUUCACCCCCAAAUACUUUCUAAUAUCAUCUUUUCCAAGAGAGGACAACUUCUCAAUUGAUGCGCCAGUCUGAACAAAACCUGUGCUUGAAUCAGUCCUGGGAUUACUGGAUCUGGUACCUUUGAGGUUAGGAGAUGGAGGCAAAUUUUGCUUGUUGCACAACACAGGGGAACUAGCAAGUUUGCCUGCAGGUAUGCUAACUGGUGCACUUUCAGACUGUAAAAGAGCCUUAGAAAGAUGACUCCCACUCCCAGGAAUAUAGAUUGGUGGUGAUGGCGAUGGGGAGGGUGUAAAGUUAGGGGAAGGGCAAUACUCAUCAAAGCCCAUAUUCUUCUUAUGAACUGAAGAUGUUUCAGGUGGAUGAGGCGGCAAGUUCGUAGAAGGGAACCGACGGGAACUUGGAUUAGAAAUUGAUGCAUGUGAUUCUGAAUGAGUAGGAGAUGGUGAGCAAGAAAUUGAAGGUGCAGAAGCUUUAUAAAGGUCAUAACUCCAACUAUGUGGUCUCGAGAAUGGCAAGGAUGAUGGAGAACCGUGAGACACAGGAAGAGAGGGGAACCUUUUCAGUGGGUCUGCCAAUGGGCUUCCAACAUAAUCAGGGAUAAAUUGGGGGGACAUUGGGGUUGAGGAUUCAGAGCUUAUAUCUGAGAGUGAUGAACGAUAGACCACUGAAAGGCAAAGCCUACCACAGGAAGUAUCCACAGGAGUGAACCCAAAUCGCUGCAUUUCAGCCUCUUCCUUGCAAGUGAAGGACUCAACAAAAGAAGAAACCCUGUGAGUAAGGGUAAAUGUGCGAAUCUGUCCAGACGAAUUGAGAUCACGGAAAAUCUUAUACGCAGGUAGAAGCCUAACAGUUGCAUACAAAGACCUCAAAAGUAAUAUUGAUUUCUUAUACAACAUAUUUAAAGUAUUACUUGAUCUUCUAUUGCCCGUACCAUUAUCCCUUGAUCUCCUACUUUCAUAUUGCAGUACCCAUCUCUCUAUAGUUUUUUCAGUCUUAGCCUCACAUCGUAACUCUUCUUGAUCAGAAUUCCAACUAAAAGCAUAAUGCUCCUUUGAGGAAGGAUUCCUAGCAAAAUCUUUUUUCAGGGAACAAUUUACUGGGUCCCAAUCAAGUGGUCUCUGCACCAAAAUCACAUCAACAACCAUUGGUUCCAGAUUGCCCCGGCGCCAGAUAUCAGGAUUCUCAAGAGCAGCUGGGCAUUCCCUAAGGGCUAAAUUGAACCAUUUAUCUCUUGGCCUGACACCUGAAGAGGAGGACGAAGAUGAAGACGGAGAUGAUACAGCUUGUUCACCACUGUAAUUACGAGAUGAAAUAGAAGGAGACCUCGACUCCAGUAUUAUGUGGAGACUUUUAGCAAAAAAUUCAGUGAUAACUUGUUCCAUUUUAGCAGCUUCAUUAUGAGUAUUACUGCUAGAUGAUGCCAUAGUUGAAAAAGAAAUAAAAAUGCACAAACCCUUUGAAGGAAAUUGAGAUUAGACCCUUAUAACCCCACUUGAUAGCAUUUCACAGAAAGUAAAUAAGUUAGAGAUUACACCGUUGCAGAGAAGCAGAUAGUUUUGAAAAGAAACAGAAACCUGAGCUCUUUUAGUAAGUAUAGAAUUCUGAGACGAAGUGGUCGUUCACUCUACCAUCGAGGAGCAACGAACUUCGCCUACGUGGGACCCAAUAAGCAGGAUAAUGCC